rnacentral:rRNA from 1 species
GACGAACGCUGGCGGCGUGCCUAAUACAUGCAAGUUGAGCGCUGAAGGUUGGUACUUGUACCGACUGGAUGAGCAGCGAACGGGUGAGUAACGCGUGGGGAAUCUGCCUUUGAGCGGGGGACAACAUUUGGAAACGAAUGCUAAUACCGCAUAAAAACUUUAAACACAAGUUUUAAGUUUGAAAGAUGCAAUUGCAUCACUCAAAGAUGAUCCCGCGUUGUAUUAGCUAGUUGGUGAGGUAAAGGCUCACCAAGGCGAUGAUACAUAGCCGACCUGAGAGGGUGAUCGGCCACAUUGGGACGGAGACACGGCCCAAACGCCUACGGGAGGCAGCAGUACGGAAUCUUCAGCAAUGGACGAAAGUCUGACCGAGCAACGCCGCGGGAGUGAAGAAGGUUGUCGGAUCGUAAAACUCUGUUGGUAGAGAAGAACGUUGGUGAGAGUGGAAAGCUCAUCAAGUGACGGUAACUACACAGAAAGCGACGGCUAACUACGUG